rnacentral:rRNA from 1 species
CGUAGGUGAACUGCGGAGGGAUCAUUA